UACGAAGGGGGCUAGCGUUGCUCGGAAUUACUGGGCGUAAAGGGCGCGUAGGCGGCUUGUAUAGUCGGAUGUGAAAUUCCUGGGCUUAACCUGGGGGCUGCAUACGAGACGUAUGGGCUUGAGUGCGGAAGAGGGUCGUGGAAUUCCCAGUGUAGAGGUGAAAUUCGUAGAUAUUGGGAAGAACACCAGUGGCGAAGGCGGCUCACUGGCCCGAUACUGACGCUGAGGCACGAAAGCGUGGGGAGCGAACAGG
rnacentral:rRNA from 1 species